AGGACGAACGCUGGCGGCGUGCUUAACACAUGCAAGUCGAGCGGUAAGGCCUUUCGGGGUACACGAGCGGCGAACGGGUGAGUAACACGUGGGUGAUCUGCCCUGCACUCUGGGAUAAGCCUGGGAAACUGGGUCUAAUACCGGAUAUGACCUGCUCUCGCAUGGGGGCGGGUGGAAAGAUUUAUCGGUGCAGGAUGGGCCCGCGGCCUAUCAGCUUGUUGGUGGGGUAAUGGCCUACCAAGGCGACGACGGGUAGCCGACCUGAGAGGGUGACCGGCCACACUGGGACUGAGACACGGCCCAGACUCCUACGGGAGGCAGCAGUGGGGAAUAUUGCACAAUGGGCGAAAGCCUGAUGCAGCGACGCCGCGUGAGGGAUGAAGGCCUUCGGGUUGUAAACCUCUUUCAGCAGGACGAAGCGCAAGUGACGGUACCUGCAGAAGAAGCACCGGCUAACUACGUGCCAGCAGCCGC
rnacentral:rRNA from 1 species